rnacentral:ncRNA from 2 species
AUUGACGGAAGGGCACCACCA